rnacentral:rRNA from 1 species
CCUACGGGAGGCAGCAGUCGGGAAUAUUGCGCAAUGGAGGAAACCCUGACGCAGUCACGCCGCGUGCAGGAAGACGGCUUUCGGAUUGUGAACUGCUUUAGACAGGGAAGCAAAAAGCCAGUACCUGUCGAAUAAGCUCCGGCUAACUACGUUCCAGCAGCCGCGGUAAUACGUAGGGAGCAAGCGUUAUCCGGAUUUCUUGGGUGUAAAGGGGUCGUAGGCGGAGAAGCAAGGUAGUUGUGAAAUCCCUGGGCUUAACUGAGGAAGUGCAACUAAAACUACUUCCCUUGAGUACUGGAGAGGAAAGUGGAAUGCCUGGUGUAGCGGUGAAAUGCGUAGAUAUUAGGAGGAACACCAGUGGCGAAGGCAGCUUUCUGGACAGUAACUGACGCUGAGGCACGAAAGUGUGGGGAGCAAACAGGAUUAGAUACCCGUGUAGUC